rnacentral:lncRNA from 1 species
AUGCACAUAACGUCUGCUGACAACAAACCUGACCUCCUGAGGAAUCUGGUGCCUUUCUUCCCCCCUCCUUACAUCUCAGAGAACUGCAACAAUCAGGUAAACAUGAAGCCCAAGUCUCUUCCAUCCAGGCUGUUUCAGAGAGAUUCACCUGCAACAGCAUCAGGCGAGAGUCCCAGCAGAAGUGCAGCAAAGUACGAGCGGCAUGUGGACUGCGUUGAUCACCCAGAGAUGCUGGAUCCAUCUUUGUCCAACGACGGGCAGCAAACAGGUGACAGCAGCAGGCAACACGAGAAGUGCCACCGAGAAACACUUUUUGCCUUCCUGCCAGAGAGGUACGAGCUGCUGGUGGAUGAUGAGGCGAAAGCCAAGGCAAAAGAAGAGAAGAAGAAAAAGAAGAAAGAAAACUACAAAAAAGUCAAGAAGAACGUUGGCAAGGCACUGCGCUCCACAUGGAAGUGUUUGAUGCUUGGUCUCUACAGCUUUGCUCUCGGAUACUCCACUCCCAUCACGGUGGCUGCUACUUUUGUCCCUGACUUUCACCCGAGCAGGAACAGGACCUGAGUCGAGCUCUGUCGAUCUCCUCCACUUUGUUUUCAUACUUAGCUGUAUAUACCAGUAACUCGCAGACUCUUACCAAAGACUUUUAAAAUGUGAAUAAUGACUGUGCAAUUCAGAUUACAUUUUCAAAUUCCAUACUUUUGCAGAUCUUACAAGAUCUGAUGGUCAUAUUUGCAGAAAUAUGCAAGAUCAUAAAAUCUUAUUAAGUAUUCGGUUAAAUACUGAAAAUACUUAUGUGUCUUUUUUGGUUGGACUUGUUUUUAAAUCAAGUGUCUGCAUGUGUUCAAAGGGAUUAUGUGGGCAUGUGGAAACUAUAGCAGGGCAGCAAUAACAGGAAUAUUCACCGUAGCUGCAGGCGAGGUGAGUCAGGGCAGAGACCUCUUUAAGGGAUUUGCAAGCAGGACAGACUUAACGAGGAAGCGAUUAUCAGUAAAAUACUGGAAAAGCAAGUAAACAGAAAGGAACUGGCCCAGUCCUUUUCUGGGUGGCACAACGUAGGUGCUUUUUAGUGUACAAAUUCUGCUGUGAAACAAGGACAUUAACUAAAACGGAACAGUAAAUAUUAAAUAAGUAUUUUGUAAACUAGCAGUAAUAGUUUUAAUAGUUAAAAUUUUUGCAAAUUUGUGAGCACAAGUAUGAGGAGGUUUUUCAUUUAGUUUUUUUUGGUGGGUGGUGGGGGUCUACAUGACUUUUACGGUCAAAAGCCUUUACAAAAACAGAAACUAAAGCUAACUAAAUAAGAUACAUUUUUUAAAAAAAAAAACUAAAAUAAAAAAAACAAAUUAAAUAAACUAAUAUAAAUUAAAAAACAAACAAAAAUAUAAUUCUGCUGCCCAAGAUUUAAAGAAUUCUCUGCUUAGAACAAAAUAUUCCGACUUUUAAGAUAUUUUUAAAGAUGUGUGUCGAUUUGAUCAUUUGUAAAUUAAUAAUUAUUCAUGAUGUUUGUAUGUUUGGUUGAAAUAAAGCAUUACUAGGAAUGCAUCUGAAGAGAAAUUGACGUUUUUAUUAUUAUUACUACUAAUAUUAGAGUGAAAUCAGUUAAAUCAGUUAAUAUGGAUUGUUUUCAACAUGUAAAUGUUGACUUCAUUUAAUAAAUUCUAAUUAUUCAGGUCCUAUAGCUUUUGAAACAUCAGCUGCUGCACAUUUUUGAGAUGAGCAACGUUCAGGUAAAGUGGGCCAUGUAAAGGAAACCAGUUAUUGCUGAUAAAACAAUUUAACAGCAAAUCAAUCAGCUUUAAUUUGAACUCAUUUUAAGAAACAUAACACAUCAACGUGUUGAUUUAAUAAUUCAUGAAUUGUUCUAUUUUCAAAAAGACAAAUUCUUAGAGACUUUACAGAAGAAUCCACCAUCAGCACAGAUGCCAUUUUCUUCUCCACAAGUCUCAUGGACUCAGGCGCUGCAAUUCCCACAGCUGAUCCACUCCUCAGUGGCCUCUGGGUCACUUUUGUCUCAAUAGACUGCAUUACAUGCUUUGAAGGGCAUGUCAUUCUUCUUUGUGCCUUUGCUUCUUCUGGUCUUUUCUUUCUUUUUAGAUUUCAGUGCCUUGGUGGAAAUGUAGUCUACAUGUUCAUCGCUUGUGAGGAAAAAUGAUGGAGGCUUAGCUCUCUUCCUGACAGUCCUCUGUCAUUUUGGCAGGGGACACAGAUCACUGAAUGUAACACAAGUUAAGGUGUGAACAGGUUAAAGACCAUCUCUUCCUCAGGAACACAUUCAAAGUUGACUGUUAUUUCUUUAGAUCCUACCACCUCUGCAUCCAAGAAUGUAAAGAUUAGGGGCACCUCGGAUACCACUGCAGGGUGAUGAAUGGGGCUGAGGGAUUCUAAGGUCAGCUGGGCAGUGGCUAGUGGUGUCUGAGUUUUGCCUGGUGGUGCUUGUGGUUUCUGGGGUUUGCUGAAAAGGGAAGGGGAAGUAAGUGGAAGGGGUCUCUCAGUUGUUUUACUGGGAGGAAAGCACUUUUUGGAGGAUGUGUAUUUUUAAAGGGAACAUUCCUGUCCCUCUGAACCCUUUUUUAACAGUGGCAGCCUUUCUGUAUGCUGGGCAGAAAACUGAGAAAAACUCAGACGUUGGUAGCUUUUGUCCUGCCAUUAGUCUGGUCCACUUUCUUCCCUCUUUGUACCAGUGGUGCUUCAGGCGUCGGAACAGGGCCUUGUCUACAGGCUGAAGAGCACAAAUGGCGUGUGGAGGGUAACACAGAAUGUGGACAUUUUUUCUCCUCAUUAAAUUGAUAAAGUCCAUUAGUAGCAAGAUGGGUCUGGCGUCAUCCUGAGGUAAUGACUGAACAAACAACUGACCCCAUUCCAAGAAGAGAUCAGCAUUUAUCCAGCUAUUAUCUAAGACCCGAACAGUAACAUUCUCAGGGCAAUGUUGGAGCCACUCACAUCGUAGUCGUUUCCCUUUGAAGAUAAUCAUGGUUUAACUGAAAACGCCUUCCACAUUGAAGGCUGUUAAGCAAGCAAGUGGUAGUUUCACCUUUCUCACCUGCACAGACCUCCACACAUGGUUGCCCAACCACUCCAAGCACCUUGGUUGAGGAGAACUGGUCUUGGAGACCCGACUCAUCACAGUGCCAUACAUGGGAAGGUAGGCCCUCAAGGCCGAGAGUGCAGAGCAGGUUUCCCAUCCUUUUCUUCUGUCUCUCUUCUUGUUGCCUCCUCUCCUUUUAUUUCCCUCCCUUCCUCCUCCUGUCUUCUCCUGUAAGCUUCUUCCUGUCCCUCUUCUCUCCUUGAUGUUCUUUUCUGUUUGCCAUAGUCUACUCUGGGAAAAUCAGAAUUUCAUGUUACUUGAUAUAUAUACUACUAUCACUGCGACAUGGAAUCAUGGCUAGUUCAUCUCUUCCUCUGUGUGUGUGUGUGUGUGUGUGUGCAUUUAAGUGUGCAUUGCUCACAAUGCAUACUACAUCAAGGCUAAAGCACCCACAAACUUCGGAUCUGCACA